rnacentral:rRNA from 1 species
AACGAACGCUGGCGGCAGGCUUAACACAUGCAAGUCGAACGCAUCCUUCGGGGUGAGUGGCAGACGGGUGAGUAACGCGUGGGAACGUGCCCUUCAGUUCGGGAUAACCCAGGGAAACUUGGGCUAAUACCGGAUACGUGCGAGAGCGGAAAGAUUUAUCGCUGAAGGAUCGGCCCGCGUCUGAUUAGCUAGUUGGUGGGGUAAUGGCCCACCAAGGCGACGAUCAGUAGCUGGUCUGAGAGGAUGAUAAGCCACAUUGGGACUGAGACACGGCCCAAACUCCUAGGGGAGGCAGCAGUGGGGAAUAUUGGACAAUGGGCGCAAGCCUGGUCCAGCCGUGCCGCGUGAGUGAUGAAGGCCUUAGGGUUGUAAAGCUCUUUCGUCCGGGACGAUAAUGACGGUACCGGAAGAAGAAGCCCCGGCUAACUUCGUGCCAGCCGCCGCGGUAA